rnacentral:rRNA from 1 species
UACGAACCGUGCGAACGUUGUUCGGAAUCACUGGGCUUAAAGGGCGCGUAGGCGGGCAGGCAAGUCGGUGGUGAAAGCCCACGGCUCAACCGUGGAAGAGCCUUCGAUACUGCUUGUCUGGAGGGAGGUAGGGGCGUGCGGAACUUCCGGUGGAGCGGUGAAAUGCGUAGAUAUCAGGAGGAACACCGGUGGCGAAGGCGGGUCUCUGGGCCGUUGCUGACGCUGAGGCGCGACAGCGUGGGGAGCAAACAGG